rnacentral:rRNA from 1 species
UGGGGAAUCUUGGACAAUGGGCGCAAGCCUGAUCCAGCCAUGCCGCGUGAGUGAUGAAGGCCUUAGGGUUGUAAAACUCUUUCGCCGAGGACGAUAAUGACGGUACUCGGAGAAGAAGCUCCGGCUAACUUCGUGCCAGCAGCCGCGGUAAUACGAAGGGGGCUAGCGUUGUUCGGAUUUACUGGGCGUAAAGCGCGUGUAGGCGGGUCGUUAAGUUGGGGGUGAAAUCCCGAGGCUCAACCUCGGAACUGCCUUCAAAACUGGCGACCUGGACCUAAGUAGAGGCAAGUGGAAUUGCGAGUGUAGAGGUGAAAUUCGUAGAUAUUCGCAGGAACACCAGUGGCGAAGGCGACUUGCUGGACUUAUGGUGACGCUGAGACGCGAAAGCGUGGGGAGCAAACAGGAUUAGAUACCCCCGUAGUCCCUGAGCGGGCUGGCAAGGCGCAU